rnacentral:rRNA from 1 species
GACGAACGCUGGCGGCGUGCCUAAUACAUGCAAGUUGAGCGCUGAAGGUUGGUACUUGUACCAACUGGAUGAGCAGCGAACGGGUGAGUAACGCGUGGGGAAUCUGCCUUUGAGCGGGGGACAACAUUUGGAAACGAAUGCUAAUACCGCAUAAAAACUUUAAACACAAGUUUUAAGUUUGAAAGAUGCAAUUGCAUCACUCAAAGAUGAUCCCGCGUUGUAUUAGCUAGUUGGUGAGGUAAAGGCUCACCAAGGCGAUGAUACAUAGCCGACCUGAGAGGGUGAUCGGCCACAUUGGGACUGAGACACGGCCCAAACUCCUACGGGAGGCAGCAGUAGGGAAUCUUCGGCAAUGGACGAAAGUCUGACCGAGCAACGCCGCGUGAGUGAAGAAGGGUUUCGGAUCGUAAAACUCUGUUGGUAGAGAAGAACGGUUGUGAGAGUGGAAAGCUCAUCAAGUGACGGUAACUACCCAGAAAGGGACGGCUAACUACGUG